ACGGGUGAGUAACACGUGGGCAAUCUGCCCUUCACUCUGGGACAAGCCCUGGAAACGGGGUCUAAUACCGGAUACCACUCGCACAGGCAUCUGUGCGGGUUGAAAGCUCCGGCGGUGAAGGAUGAGCCCGCGGCCUAUCAGCUUGUUGGUGAGGUAAUGGCUCACCAAGGCGACGACGGGUAGCCGGCCUGAGAGGGCGACCGGCCACACUGGGACUGAGACACGGCCCAGACUCCUACGGGAGGCAGCAGUGGGGAAUAUUGCACAAUGGACGAAAGCCUGAUGCAGCGACGCCGCGUGAGGGAUGACGGCCUUCGGGUUGUAAACCUCUUUCAGCAGGGAAGAAGCGAAAGUGACGGUACCUGCAGAAGAAGCGCCGGCUAACUACGUGCCAGCAGCCGCGGUAAUACGUAGGGCGCAAGCGUUGUCCGGAAUUAUUGGGCGUAAAGAGCUCGUAGGCGGCUUGUCACGUCGGGUGUGAAAGCCCGGGGCUUAACCCCGGGUCUGCAUUCGAUACGGGCUAGCUAGAGUGUGGUAGGGGAGAUCGGAAUUCCUGGUGUAGCGGUGAAAUGCGCAGA
rnacentral:rRNA from 1 species